rnacentral:lncRNA from 1 species
GGUAAAGUCGUAGUUAAUCACUAAUCAAAUAAUAGGGAAGAGGAAGUAACGGGAAAUCAUCAUAAUGGUAAACCAGAGUCACCGGUUGGCGGGAGUUCCAACUUCCAAAAGAGGAAGGUACGAUCCAUCAAAUUGAUUCAUGAGAGGGAGGUGGAAUAUUUCCUGUAGUAGUUAGAGUUGAAGGUGUGGCACACCAGCUUAGUCUUUCUGUAUAAAUGUAUUAGCCGGUUGGCUGGUCAAUCCAGUUCUUUUUUUUUAAAUAUAUGCCGGUCUGAGCUCUCUUGCUUGGGGUCCGGUAAAUCCUUUUACCAAAUCAAUAUCUCCACUGCGGUACACUUCUCCCCAAUAUGAGAUAGAUUGCAGCUAUAGUCAGAACUCCAACUGGGCCAAUGGCGUAAUUAUGACCUGAGGUAGCGAACGAGACAGCAAAUGGAUGGAAAUUCUCCACCCAAUGACAGCCUUUUUGUAUCUUUUCGUGUGGAUCACACCACCGUUUGAAGAUUUUCUGCCGAAAUUUCAAAGUUGCAUUUUUCAUGAGAAAAUACUGUUCAUAUCAUAUUUUUAGAAUAGCUAUUUUGAAUGAAAUAAUACAUGUUCCAUCUCGAGUUGCAUUGCUCGAUGGAGGAGUCGUGAAUUAGUUGUGGUAUCCUGUACUGUAACCGGUACUUUCUCAUUGGGUAGUGCCCGACCUGAGUAAAGUUGUAGUGAUCCUUCCGGUUGGAAAGUAUCUGAGGCUGAAAGCCGAGGAUGGGAAUAUGGUUGACCCAGAAUUGACAUAAUAAAGACGGCCCAACUUCAUCACCAAAGGAAGAGCUUUGCC